rnacentral:sRNA from 1 species
GGUCGCAGGUUCGAAUCCUGCACGACCCACCAAUUUCAGCAUUUAACUCAGAUGCUGAACGUGAAGGAUAACGUUGCAACAGCAACGGCCCGAAGGGCGAGGCGAAGUCGAGUCAUCCUGCACGACCCACCA